UACGUAGGGUGCGAGCGUUGUCCGGAUUUACUGGGCGUAAAGAGCGCGCAGGCGGUCGUUCAAGUCGCGUGUGAAAGCCCCCGGCUCAACUGGGGAGGGUCACGCGAUACUGAUCGACUCGAAGGCAGGAGAGGGUAGUGGAAUUCCCGGUGUAGCGGUGAAAUGCGUAGAUAUUGGGAGGAACACCAGUGGCGAAGGCGGCUCACUGGACCGGAACUGACGCUGAGGCGCGAAAGCGUGGGGAGCAAACAGG
rnacentral:rRNA from 1 species